GGUCAGGGCUGUUUUGGAUCUUGUUAAUAGCAUCUUCACGUCCAAGACUCAGGAAGUCCUCGGCACCCUCUUACGCAAUGCUGGCAAGUUUUCUUUAGCUUCUUGUAUCAGUUUGGUGAACAUGGCAUGCAGAGGAAAUGGAAAAGGAGCAGAGGAAGAGCAGUGCGACAAGGGAGAACAUGGGACAAUGCAAUUGGUCUUUUGCCCGUUCAGUUUGUUAUCAGUUUCAAACAAACAGCCUUCUGGAUGCAGUGGACUAUAUGACUACUGCUUCCAAGGCCAGUAUGUGAGCUCACAUGUAUUAUUGAGAUUUCUUUUCAUUUUUGUGCAUGAACCAACAAAUACCACAUAAUGUAAAGUUUGGGAAAAGGCUUUUUUUUUUACUUCCACGCCAUUGGACAUUGCUAAGUUUUAUCCCAGAAUUCAUAGGAGCUGUACAAGGGAUUGUUCGUUGCCAUCCCAAUAAAUUGAGUUGUGUUUCCACAGAAGUUGAGGAAGCAAGAGCACACCUUUGCUCCCUGGCUUCAGCCAGGGCUGUCUGCCAUGCAGCUGUUUAUUCAGCCUCUGCCAACGUAGCAUUUUGAGGCUGGAGAGAUGAAUGGGAUGUUCCCAUUCAUCCUGUAGCGCUGCAAGCUAAGGAGAGAUGUGACUUCCGCUCUUCCUGUCCUUCCCGCUGGAGGAGAGAAGCAAUGCAGCAGGCUGGCACCGUCCAGGAGAGCCAAGCUACGCAGCAAGACAAAGACAGACUCCAAACUCUGCAGCAGGACUGCAGCUCCCAUCAUCCCAGAGCCAGCUGUGGCCUGGGGAGAGUUGCUCUAUGCCAGGAGGCCUUGUGUAAUAUCUAACUUGGGGUGGGCACAAUUGAAGUCCAAGGGGACACAUGACCAUGGUCUGCUUUCAAUAUCCAAAAUAUAUCUGCUUGCUCACAUGCCUCCAAAUUGUUAGUGUAAGAUUAAUGUAAUGUGAAUGUUUAAAUGUAAUUUUGUGCAAUGCUUGUGAAUGUAAUCUGAUCGCAUCAGCAGAGAGUGUAUUGACACGGAAAGCGUUAAUCAGUCAAGCCUCUAAUGAACUGUGAAGAUGUGACCCUGAGUGUGCCAGGAACGCGUAGGGAGGAUUCAGAGAUAAGAUUUCGUUCCUUCCUCUUACUUCUGUGUCUUUUGUCUUGUUUCUGUCUGUUAGGUUGGAUGUCAAUGCUAGUGUGUGCUGUAUAUUUGCUCUACUCAGUAAAGCUAUAUGUUUGCUUUUA